AUUGAACGCUGGCGGCAUGCCUUACACAUGCAAGUCGAACGGUAGAGGGGCAACCCUCGAGAGUGGCGAACGGGUGAGUAAUGCAUCGGAACGUGCCCAGUAGUGGGGGAUAGCCCGGCGAAAGCCGGAUUAAUACCGCAUACGACCUCAGGGUGAAAGCGGGGGACUCGCAAGAGCCUCGCGCUAUUGGAGCGGCCGAUGUCAGAUUAGGUAGUUGGUGGGGUAAAGGCCCGCCAAGCCGACGAUCUGUAGCUGGUCUGAGAGGACGACCAGCCACACUGGGACUGAGACACGGCCCAGACUCCUACGGGAGGCAGCAGUGGGGAAUUUUGGACAAUGGACGAAAGUCUGAUCCAGCCAUGCCGCGUGCGGGAAGAAGGCCUUCGGGUUGUAAACCGCUUUUGUCAGGGAAGAAAUCUUCUGGGCUAAUACCCCGGGAGGACGACGGUACCUGAAGAAUAAGCACCGGCUAACUACGUGCCAGCCGCCGCCGUAAGAC
rnacentral:rRNA from 1 species